ACAGGUAGAGCAUGGGUGGGACCUUCCGUUUCAUGACACAUUUUACUGAAGUGAUGGCUUUGCUUUGUGCCUGUGCAUAUAAAGGGGCUCAAGUAUACUCUUUCAAGCACUUCCUACAGACAGAGCCCUUUAAAGAAACUCUAUACACUUUGACUUAGAGCACUCACUCUAUGUCCAAACAGUUAUCCUUGCUCGGAGCCAUGGUGCUUUAACAGCACAUGUUCUCUGCUAUUAUCAUAUUACUUUGGUUUGUUAUUGCCUUCAAAAAAUAAAACUUUACGCGCAGAGGUCCAGGUCAUUUAGAGCAUAUUGUUAUCUCAAUACGGCUGGCUUUGCAUGACAGUAAACACAUUGCAGGGUUUUUCUCAGAGCAAUUGUUUCCAUACCGCUCCGUCACUCUCAAGUUGCCAGCAGACAUAUUUGUUAGAUACAGCAUGUUUUGAACACACUCCAAACUGGGACCUAUCGAUGUCAAAAGCAAUUUAGCUUUGUUACUUCAACAAAGCCAGUAAGGGACUCUGCUGAACACAUGUGAUCAACAGGCUGCUAUAGUUUCUCAGCCACACGCUUUAUUAGGAGUUUAAUUUGCAGCUUCAUCUAUCAUUUUGGCAUUUCAAUCAAUCAGGUGUGCUUUUGAAAAAAACUGAUUUGUUUUACUGAAUUGGACUCUGCUCUGUGACUGGAUUUAUGUUGAAAGCAAAGUCACUCAGAACAGAGAGAGCUGCACUGUGGCUUGAACAUUUUCGGUAACGCUUUCUUUUACAGUACACUUAUUACCAGGUAAUUAACAGGUAAUUACCUAGUAACAACAUGAAAUUAUCUGGUAAUUACAUGAUAACUACUAAGUCAAUACUGUCUAGUUUUUCUUUUUUUUUCUUUUUUCUGUGCAGCUCCAUUUUCAAAAGCUAUUUAUUUUCUAUGAUUGACACUUGAUACAGCCUAUGGGCGUGCGAAGAUUGCUUGUGCCUAAUUCGGUGAGUGUUUUCUCUCCUUUAGGAUUAAUAAAGUCCCAUUAAGGUGGAAAAAAAAUGGAAAAAAUGGAGCACAGUAUCAACAGCAAUCACAAUGAUCAUCUUCUAAGUUCUGCAUUUGUAAGGCUUCUUCAGCAUGCCCUUGAGACCAAAAAUUAGCAGGCCUUGUUUUUAAAUUGGGAACAUUUGUGAGUAUGACUUCCUCCUCAGUGCGACAACUGGUACCAGCUUUUACUGCCAGUUCUGAUUACAGAAAAGAAAUUCUGCUCCCAAAGUGGUUUCAUCGCCAUUGUCAGUCAGUCUUACUGAUCAUGGGAUCACAAUGCAUAUAGGGGGAAAAAAAUGGCUAAAACAUCAAAGCUUGAUGACAGUGAGAGAAUACUGUUGAUGCAGACUUGGACAACAAACACACAAAUAGAUGAUGACACAGGAAGUCUUUGUAUAUGUGUCUUCUUUUAGAAGUUUUGAUCUGAGAUUGGACAGUCUCGAACCAUCUGAAAGUCGUGUUUCUUUUUCUUCCUCUGCAGUUUCUGUGGUCGUGCUGGAAACAAAAAUCAUGUGUUGAAGUGGCCUUCCUCCUCCAGGCUGUGUGGCCUUUUGUAGCCAAGACCGAAGGCUCAGGGGUUGGUGACUAAGGCAAGAUGUAAUGCUUGGCACCAGACAUGAGCACUCUCUACCUUUUCAUCAAAUUCCCCCCGUUUGUAGCGUGCAAGAGGAUCACCAUACAAGGUGCAAACAGUUCCCGUGUCACAUAAACGUCGGACUUUGGCUUUUGAGCUUUUUCCCCUAUCAAGAAGCAUCCUCACCGUUGCACAUAAACCUCACUUGCUCUUCUUUAAACCCAACAAUCCCCUCUUCGAUGAGAAUGUGAGGAUGAUGGGAGCAUGCUCACCAGACCUCAGAGCGUCUUAAAAUGGACAUGUGUGCCGGAUCUUUGUUCGAGCUGUAGACCUCUGGUGGGUUGUGUCAACGGUAGUGUAGGCGUUCAAAGACGACCUGGAGGUAAAUCAAUGAAGUCUGCUCUUACAGUAAAAAUGGAGCUCCGGUUGAAAGGAAUAACAGGUCAAAUGCAGAGGCGAAAGACUUGGAUCAGGCUGGUUUGCUUCAUUUACUUCACACAAUCUGUUCCAAUGAACUCAUUUCCUCCUGGGCAUCCCGCUGGACGUACCCUCCUGGACGCUGAUCAAGCACUCAGAGUUGACUGAUAGGGUGUGAUCUGGAUGGGCAGAGCGGUUCGUUUUUUGCACAUCAUUCCCCAAACGCAUGACUGUGAUCCAUGUUACCUGCACCUACUUCUUUCCAGUCCAGUCUAGAGCCAGACCAGGCUCACUGGACCAGAUCCGGCUCUCUUCUGUCCCUAGGUGAGAGAUCUGCUUUGGGCCAGAUGGUUUGCUGAAAGGUCCUCAGAGGACAGUAUUGACUCUGUGCUACUUGUGUGGAGUUUUUUGAAGUCUGAUAUUAUUUUGGAAGAUACUGUACAUAGCAGAGUGAUGACGGAGUGGCAUAUUUUCCACGUCUUAAUGGUCAGCGUAGUAGCUCUAUUUCAACAAUUUUCAAUUUAUGAAAGAAAAUCAAGGCUUAUUUUACAAAAACACGGGGGUAGAGUGAUAAAAACAUUGAUAAAAACACCUUUCGAAGGUGAAAGACCCAACUGAAAAAAGGUGAUUGUUCCACAAAAAAUAUAUACGCUCAAAUUUAAAUUUGAUAGAAGCAACAUAUUUCAGAAAAACUGUACAGACACAAUGUUAAAACACUGUAAAUGCUGCUGAAUAUUAAGAGAAAACACCUGGACAAAUAUCUCCUAACUAACAGGUUACUAACAUUACUACUCUGUGAGGGACUAUGUGAGCGAAUCGUUUGACAAUUUCAGAAAAAUGUUCCUAAAUAUAGAGUUAAGGACUAUUUAGGGAUUUUAUCAUCAACACAUCAUGAAAAGAUUCUGAGAACCUGGAGGGAUAUCUGCAUAAAUGGGACAGGGCUGAGAAUCAGUACUGGAUGGCUGCACUAAAAACAGACCCUGAGCUCAAAAUAGUUCCCAAAGUCCAUUGUCUGAGAGUAAAGUUUGUCGCUGUGUCCCCGAAUGCAGGUCGAAACCGUACCAUGCAAAAAGGAAAUCCUAUAUAAACAUGAUCCAGAAAUGCCUGAGCCAAUUUAGGAUGGACUGAGACUAGAAAGCCUCAUUUAUUUAGAGUGGAGUUUCCUUCAGCUAAAUUGGUUGUAGCCCAGUUUUUACUCCAACCGUCUCCACCAGAUAGUUGCCAUCUUUGUCUGUUUGUUAUCUGAUGCUGCACUGAUCUUGUACCUUGAGUUUAUCAGAGCCUGCUGUGACCAUGAGGGCUUAUUUGCGGUCAUGAAACUAAAAGUAGGGCUGCUCAAUUAUGGCAAAAGUCAUGAUCACGAGUGAAAUUGAUUGAUAUUGAGAACGUAAUUGUUAAAACACAGUUACUCACUUCUAUAAAACUUGAAAACUCUAUUUUUUAGUAAAAACAGUUUUACUUUUUUACCUACCAAUUGAACACUUGGAUUAACAUUUAACCCUCGGUUCCUACUAUGUCUGUUUUGAGGAUAUUAGUCCGUUUUUUCAUCUUUAUUUUGAGCUGACAGUCACAUUUUUAAAGAUUGGGGCAUCAAAUCUGGUAAGAGUUCUUAUUUUUCUUCAGCGUAAUCGUGGUCAUAUUUUGGUUAGAGGUGGAUAACCACUUGUAUAUGAUUCCUAUCUUACAUAUAUCUACUGAUUUUAUAUACCUAUAUAUAAAAUUAAUUUGUUAUGAACAAAUGAAUUCAAUCGCAUUUGAUUUGGUAGAGAAUGAGGCUCAAGAAAAGAAGGUGAAAUUGGCAUGUUUUUCCACUCUUGCUGUUUAGAACGCAAACUUUAUGAAUAAAUAUGACAUGGUGCACAAAAACUGGUAUAAAAAGGGUAAUACAUCACAUUUUUUAUUCAUUUCUUUUUUAAUGGUUAGGGCUGAAGUUGUUUGAAGUCGACUUAGAGAUUUAAGUCGAAAAAAGUAAGAAAAAAUGUUAUUUAAAUUGUUAUUUUAUGAACACUUCUCUGCAAGUAGGCUGGAUGGAGCUCAAACUUAACAGGAACCGAGGGUUAAACAAUUAUCUUUAUAUGCAGAAAGUUAGAUUUUUGGAAAGAGAAAGGUUGCUUAUAACCACCAUGACAGCCUCUUAUGAAACAGUGGAACAUAUCCAACCUGGCUUUACUCAACCUAUUACUAAAGAACAAUCAAAAUACAUUAAUGAAUGAAUCAAACAGGUUUGCAACUCUGUCUCCUUUUCACUCUUUCUGUCUGUUCUUCAUAUCUCUGCAUCUUUGCUGAUUUUCACCGCCUGUUACCCGACCCUCUCUGGCCCUCAGCCACAAAGCGCUGCCUCCAGGGCCAGGACAUUAGCUUUUCCUAUGAGGAGCUGCUAAAUCCAUAGGGUGGUGUGGAUGUGAGUUAAUAGUCAGCUAUUGUUGGACAGCACAAUACAGAAGCACACCUUCCUUACAGUAUUGUGGCAAUUGUGCUCUAAACAUCCUUUCUGAGGCUAUUUCCAUACAGCGAGGCGAUUUCCGCCUGCGGAGUAUCAUUUUUCAGCUUAUUGAAGUCACGUUUUGUUAUCGGAGGCUUUCACGCAGAAGGUCAAUGGCUCUUUUGGAACAGGUUGUCCCGUGUGUGCGUGUUUGUGUGUGUGAGUAUAUGUCUCGGGAGGAAGUUGUACAGAGACAUAGGAUGUAUCCAGUCUUUCACCUUUGUCCCUUCGCUCAUUUCUCUUUUACCUCCUUUGUUUUUCUGUCCGCCUGUGGGGAGAUUACAUUUUUGUUCGACAUGAUGGAGCUUUGGGGGUUUAUUUCUGAUGUACGCUAACUCAGAAGAUGCCAGAUUACACACCUGAGGAAUCAGAGUUCAAUUUUCCAGGAUAGUUUUAAUAAAAAUAAACCUAUAAAUACAUGACAUCUAAUACAAAGCCUUUCCGUUAGUGCUCACUCUACUUCUAUUAAGUCCUUGUACCUCAUUAAAUCACAAUCAGUCAAGCCUCUAUAGUGAGUGUAUGUAAACUUCACUCCAGAGGGUUCAUUAGGUGUCAGAAGCCCUUAAAUGUCUUUGACAUAGAGCCGUGUUUGCCGGUCAGAAGGUGAUGGAUGGAUGGAUUGUCAGGUCAAAUAGCUGCAGUGUCAAUAUGUUUAAGCACUGAGACCCUUUGACCCUUUGGUCAUCUGUUCCCACCAACCUACAGCUUCUGGUGUCGCUCACGCUAAGUUGAACUUAAUGAGGCCAAAAUGCACAAAGUAAGGUAUCUUACAAAGCGUACUACAUUGAAUUAAGUAUAACAGAAGUUUGAACAUUGUGAAAUUAGAGGUUUACUGACCAUUCAUUACUACAAACUGAAACACCAUAGAUAUUACAAAAAAAAUCCUUUCUGUUAUAUAUAAUGUAAUAUAAAAAAUACAUGAAUUUAUACUAGUAUACAGUGUACUACUUAUAUUAAUUAUACUUUAGAUCUUUGAGUCUUCUUUAACAUUUCUUCUUUCCUUGGACGUUUAUUUUAAAUGAAUCCUAGACAAUGAGGAAGUACGGACUACUUAUCAUACUAACUCAUACUAACUAAUCAAUACUCCUGUCAAGUCUUUUGCAAAAGUUAACUGUGGAUUCUCUUUUUAACAUCAACGUGUUGUGUUGCUAAAGAAGGAGUGUAUGUUGUAGAUUGUACAAAGAAAGCUUUGCUGAAAGGCAGAAUCAUCUUAAAAACUGCACAAAAGAAAGUGAGUCUGUUUUUUGUUUUGUUUUUCAGAGCACUCGGUGAAUGAGGCCUCAUGUACGUAGUUAUUAUCUGAAGUGAGGGAUGAAAUGUAAGAAAGGGAAGCCCAUCGAUCUGCCUGCAGCUAGACCAUCUUUGAGCCAACCGCCUGCACUCAGUUUUAUUGCAAAACCACAAAAAGGUUAUUGCUGGAAAAUAGCCUGAAAUACAAUCAGAAAUGGGUUUUUGAUAAAAGAAGGACUCUUCUCUCUCUCGAUACUGCACCUCCACUUUUUACUGAUUGCCUCGGAGCUUAACAUGUGGUGGAAAUUGGGUUUUAUAAACACAGAUACAAAUUUAUGUCUCACUCAGGUUUAUCAGCGUGGCGGGGCUGAACCUGUGUCUUCUGGGUUUACGGACCUGCUCUCGAAGGUUCGAGCAGCGAAUUGGUAUAGUAUACUUAUGUCUGCAUUUAAAGUUGUUAAACGGUCAAUUUGUUUUUAUUUUCCAUUUCAGCACCAUUAUAUGUGUAUAUAUAUGAGCCAGUGACAGGAUAUAAUUUGCCCUGAAGGUUUUAUGCACCAUGGUGAGUUUGUUUCCAUAUGUGUCUGUGGUUAUAUCCGUUCUUGUUAAAAUAAGCCAUUCAUAUACAUAUAACUCUCGGGUUAUAAACCACACUUAACUAGAUCAAAGUUAGUAUUUGACUCUGGAGAAUGGCUCUACUCUGUGGUAUGGACAAAUAGCCUCUGGUGUUUACUUGGGUGGUGGCACAAACAUACAAAAGCUGGACCCCAUUAGAAAAAAAUUACAUUUGAAAAUAUUUGGACCUUCAUGUGGAAUCGCUCAUUUCAGUAAUCUUCCGGGGACUCACUCGGCUUCUCAGCUCCACGGCGGAUUUUGGUAGUCGACCUUUCAUGUCUGCUUGUUCAAAUAUUUGAAGCCAUUUAGGUUUACAAAUAUUUUGAAAAUAUGUUUUGCACAGGCCUGUUGCAUGCCAUCCACUGAAAAGAGUUUUGACAGUUUAAGGAGAAUAUAAUGGCGGACUUGGCACACACAGUCAUGCGCACACACCCAGUCUGAGAACCAGCUGGCCCUGCUAACCUCUGGCAGCAUGGCACUAUGACUCGGGCCUUGUAGCACUGACCCCCAACCAGCCAGAGACAGCCCAGGGAGCCAUGGGGACCAGUAAUUAAAAACGGGGCGCUUCCCAUGAGCCCCACUCGUGGUCCCUAAUUAAACAGAAUCACAUUCCUUCCUAGCUGGAAGAGGGGGAGCAUUCAGGAGAACUAAAUCCAUCCCUCUGAGUAAAGCUUUCCCACAGAAAGACUUGAUAAGAAGCUGGAGGACAGUUUCAUCUUUGUGUCAGCAAAGAAAAUAUUGACAAGUCCAUCAAAGCGUGCUCGAGACCAUUAUCUUCUUGGGCUGCCUUGUUAUUGAAUCAUUAAUAAUCUAAAUCAUUUAAUUUGGACGUGUAUCUGAAAGGGGAGAGUAAGGCUGACUUAAGCCGUGUGGUUUGUUUGGUUAAUAAACACAAUGGGAGAGUAGCUGACUUUACCCUUAAUCUUGCUUUAACGGCGGUUCAAAGUCUUGACAUUACUGAGCUCCCGAGAGACAAAGUCAUCAAUUAAGAUUUAUGAACACAACGCUUGGAUGACCUUUUGAGUGAUCCAACAAAAAGAUCUGUCAGUAGAUUAAAAACAAGGAUUAGGUACGUUCUCUUCUCAGACCAAGACAUCUGUAAUGUAGGAACAAUGACUCCUCUGUGGUUUAUUUUGAAAAGUCUCAAUUAUUACAUCAACUCGACGGUACAACCCGAAUUUAAAAAAAGAGUUUGGACGCUGUGUGAAUGUGUCACCAGCAUUUCUAGAUCGCCUUUAUCUGGUUUCGUUUAUCUUUAACCUGCAUAUGUGGAUGCAGCGACAAACUGUUUACAGACAAAAGGCGAAUUUUUUCACACGUCACUGGCAUCAAAGUUAAAUGAUCAUAUAGUUUUUACUUAAAACGAAAUUCCUCAAAAAGAGUCUGUUUUACAUCAGCAUUUGCAAGUCUUGGAUUUGGGGUUGUAAAAAAAGGGAUUAAAUACUCUCUCUUCUCAGACCAAGACAUCUGUAAAUGCUAGGAAUAAUGAAUCCUCUGUGGUCUAUUUUCAAAGACUACUUUUUUCAAUCCGAUUUCAUUUAUUACAUCAAAUUAAAAGUAUUUUGUUCUCCAGCUGAUUUCAGCGAUCUGCGAUUAUGACGUGAUCAUCAAUUCAAUGUCCCUGCUUGAGAACAAGAGCCAAACCCGGGCCAUGAUUUGUGGUCAUCUACAUACAAAUUAAAAGGCUUUCAUACAGAUUUCCUGGGAAAUCAGUAAAGAGGUCCGCUCCAAAAGUGGAAACGCAGGUGUGGAGUAUUUCCCGUAAAGAUGGAAGGGGUACUGAGAAUUGGUGGUGUUCACAUCCUGUGUUUCAAAUGAGGUGAUGCAUCAAGAGUGGCCUUCUGAAGGAACGAAAAGGUUAAAAUGACUGUACCAUUUUCACAAUUAGAGGCUGGAGUUGCACCAGUGUAAACACCAGCCUGAAGAGCGAGUGAUCGCAGGUUUUUGACAAGGAACCUCCAGAGGGUAACCUGUGUGUUGGUUUGCUUUGGCAGGUGCUGGUGGCGAGGUGCCACUCUAAAGAUCAGGGAUCUCUAAAUCAUCUCACUUGCACCAUGACUGCAAGUCAACUAAAUGUACAUACAAGGAAGUGUCAACAUAAUCCUUUCUGACCGCAGCUGGAAAGACGUGAUUCAGGGUGAAGUGGAGCCAGAAAUUAACAAGCCUUGACAUCUGCAGACAUGCUUUGAGCUGUGUGGGUCUGAGUGACGAUAAAAGUCAAAACAUCAGAAGAUCUCCAAAGGUAUUACACAGUAUUUGGUGGGUACUGCAAAGUCCGAGCCAAAUCCGACAGCAAUCCAUCCAAAAGCUGUUGAUAUAUCUUACUCCACAGUUAGUGAUCUUGGCUGGUCUGUCUUUCAGCCCAACUUUCAUUUGGUGGAUAGACUCCCCUGAGGACCUGUCAAGGACUCUCCAAGACCCACAAAGCUUAUUAUUGAGCACCAAGUGCGUCAUAUGAGCAUCUCUUGGGAACAAAGCAAGCAGAGCAGACAAACAGUCCCAUUUAAAACAGACAUUUGUCCCAAACUGGCUUUUAUCUGCCGCACCAAAAACUUUUCAAACUGGAUGCCGAGCAAUCAACUGGUUGUGACUGGGCUUGAACAGUGGGUGGGGACUGCACACACAAAAAUAGUAAGACAAGAAGUCCUCUAAGGUGAAGCCUGGAUGAAGUAUUGGGCGGUAUCACGGUAUAAACUAUGUGACGGUAUAAAAGUGUCUACCGGUAAAAAUGUUGCUAUACCAUUUAUACCAGAGAGAGAGAGAGCAGAUAUCUACUGCAUCUCUCUGAGUCAGUGCAUAGUUGCAGGGUUUCCCCUACAUACAAUUGAUCGUGGCGCA